UACGUAGGGGGCUAGCGUUGUCCGGAAUCAUUGGGCGUAAAGCGCGUGUAGGCGGUCCGGUAAGUCCGCUGUGAAAGUCGGGGGCUCAACCCUCGGAUGCCGGUGGAUGCUGUCGGGCUUGAGUACGGAAGAGGCGAGUGGAAUUCCUGGUGUAGCGGUGAAAUGCGCAGAUAUCAGGAGGAACACCAAUUGCGAAGGCAGCUCGCUGGGACGUUACUGACGCUGAGACGCGAAAGCGUGGGGAGCAAACAGG
rnacentral:rRNA from 1 species